rnacentral:rRNA from 1 species
AUUGAACGCUGGCGGCAGGCUUAACACAUGCAAGUCGAACGAGUGGCGGACGGGUGAGUAAUGCUUGGGAAUCUGGCUUAUGGAGGGGGAUAACGACGGGAAACUGUCGCUAAUACCGCGUACCAUAGGCUGAGCCCAAGUGGGAUUAGGUAGUUGGUGGGGUAAUGGCCUACCAAGACGACGAUCCCUAGCUGGUCUGAGAGGAUGACCAGCAAAACCGGGACUGGGACCCGGCCCGGACUCCUCCGGGCGGCAGCAGUGGGGAAUAGUGCGCAAUGGGGGCAACCUGAAGGAGCCAUGCCGCGUGAAUGAAAAAGGCCUUCGGGUUGUAAAGUUCUUUCGGUGACGAGGCGUUAAUCACAGAAGAUGCCCCGGCUAACUCCGUGCCAGCCGCCGCGGUAAUAC